GAUGAACGCUGGCGGCGUGCCUAAUACAUGCAAGUCGAGCGAACGGACGAGAGGCUUGCUUCUCUGAUGUUAGCGGCGGACGGGUGAGUAACACGUGGAUAACCUACCUAUAAGACUGGGAUAACUUCGGGAAACCGGAGCUAAUACCGGAUAAUAUUUUGAACCGCAUGGUUCAAAAGUAAAAGACGGUCUUGCUGUCACUUAUAGAUGGAUCCGCGCUGCAUUAGCUAGUUGGUAAGGUAACGGCUUACCAAGGCAACGAUGCAUAGCCGACCUGAGAGGGUGAUCGGCCACACUGGAACUGAGACACGGUCCAGACUCCUACGGGAGGCAGCAGUAGGGAAUCUUCCGCAAAGGGCGAAAGCCUGACGGAGCAACGCCGCGUGAGUGAUGAAGGUCUUCGGAUCGUAAAACUCUGUUAUUAGGGAAGAACAUAUGUGUAAGUAACUGUGCACAUCUUGACGGUACCUAAUCAGAAAGCCACGGCUAACUACGUG
rnacentral:rRNA from 1 species